rnacentral:misc_RNA from 1 species
GAUGAAGAACGCAGCGAAAUGCGAUACGUAAUGUGAAUUGCAAAUUCAGUGAAUCAUCGAGUCUUUGAACGCACAUUGCGCCCCCUGGUAUUCCGGGGGGCAUGCCUGUCCGAGCGUCAUUGCUGCCCUCAAGCACGGCUUGUGUGUUGGGCCCCGUCCUCCGAUCCCGGGGGACGGGCCCGAAAGGCAGCGGCGGCACCGCGCCCGGUCCUCGAGCGUAUGGGGCUUUGUCACCCGCUCUGUAGGCCCGGCCGGCGCUUGCCGAUCAACCCAAAUUUUUAUCCAGGUUGACCUCGGAUCAGGUAGGGAUACCCGCUGAACUUAAGCAUAUCAAUAAGCGGAGGA